AACCAGACUCCUACGGGAGGCAGCAGUGAGGAAUAUUGGUCAAUGGCCGAGAGUCUGAACCAGCCAAGUAGCGUGAAGGAUGACUGCCCUAUGGGUUGUAAACUUCUUUUAUAUGGGAAUAAAAUGUUCCACGUGUGGGAUUUUGUAUGUACCAUAUGAAUAAGCAUCGGCUAACUCCGUGCCAGCAGCCGCGGUAAUACGGAGGAUGCGAGCGUUAUCCGGAUUUAUUGGGUUUAAAGGGUGCGCAGGCGGGCUGUUAAGCCGGCGGUAAAAAUUCAGGGCUCAACCCUGUCGAGCCGUCGGAACUGGCAGUCUUGAGUGGGCGAGAAGUAUGCGGAAUGCGUGGUGUAGCGGUGAAAUGCAUAGAUAUCACGCAGAACGCCGAUUGCGAAGGCAGCAUACCGGCGCCCAACUGACGCUCAUGCACGAAAGCGUGGGUAUCGAGCAGGAUUAGAUACCCUUGUA
rnacentral:rRNA from 1 species